rnacentral:rRNA from 1 species
AGCGAACGCUGGCGGCAGGCUUAACACAUGCAAGUCGAACGCCCCGCAAGGGGAGUGGCAGACGGGUGAGUAACACGUGGGAACGUGCCCUUUGGUUCGGAAUAACUUGGGGAAACUCAAGCUAAUACCGGACAAGCCCUUAUGGGGAAAGGUUUACUGCCGAAGGAUCGGCCCGCGUCUGAUUAGCUAGUUGGUGAGGUAAUGGCUCACCAAGGCGACGAUCAGUAGCUGGUCUGAGAGGAUGAUCAGCCACACUGGGACUGAGACACGGCCCAGACUCCUACGGGAGGCAGCAGUGGGGAAUAUUGGACAAUGGGGGCAACCUUGAUCCAGCCAUGCCGCGUGAGUGAUGAAGGCCUUAGGGUUGUAAAGCUCUUUUACCCGGGACGAUAAUGACUGUACCGGGAGAAUAAGCCCCGGCUAACUUCGUGCCAGCCGCCGCCGUAA